GCGUAGCUCAGUUGGAAGAGCAUUGGGCUAGUAUUCCAAAGGUCGUAGGUUCGAAUCCCACCGUGGCCGGGCAUAUUUUCAAGCUCGCCCGGUGUGGAUAUGCACUCAGAGUAACAUCACAAACAUAUUAUUCACCUGGGUACACAAGACCAGCACAAAAAAAAAAUUCAUAUUACAAGAACACAUUGGUAUUGAAGGAACUAGAUACUGUUCCGAAAUAUCACUUACUCGAACCGUCCUGACCGCGUAGCUCAGUUGGAAGAGCAUUGGGCUAGUAUUCCAAAGGUCGUAGGUUCGAAUCCCACCGUGGCCGGGCAUAUUUUUCAAGCUCGCCCGGUGUGGAUAUACACUUAUAAGUAAUAGCAUAAAAAGAAGCGAAUUAGCUAUUAAAACGUCCCGCCCGAUGAGGGUCGUUUAGUAUAAUUCCCUUGGGCGCCGCUCGAUGAGGGUCAUUUAGUAAAAUUUUACUAAAUGACCCGAAUCGAGCGGCGCCCAAGGGAAUUUUACUAAACGACCCUCAUCGGGCGGGACGUUUCAAUAGCUAAUUCGCUUCUUUUUAUGCUAUUACCUUAUAAUAUCAUGAUUGCGG